rnacentral:lncRNA from 1 species
CUUAGGACUAUAAGCUGAAGUAGAACUAGAAAGUCCAGCCAUACCUAAGUCCAAGCUAGCCACUCUGGUCCUUUUCUCUGUUGUAUUCCAUUAAAGACCCUGAUAUCUGGGACUAGAGUUCCUGAGCACUCUAUACCCAUGACCUGGUCUGGAAGCAGCUCUUCUUAGCUGUCCUAUCAUGCCACAGUAACUCCGGGUCUCUGAGACAAGUGUCCUGAAACUCUUGAGUUCUCACAUGCCCUUUCAUCUUUCCCUCUUUUUUGAUCAAUCCAACCAAUUCAUGGCUUCCUGUUGAAUGUUAUUUUAUAAUAAUAUGGUUUAUGUUAUUAACACUCUUUAAUGUUAUUCAAGCCCAUCUUCUAUCAUGUCAUUGCUUAAAAAGCCUCAACAGUUCCUUAGGGUCAAGCCCACUGUGUGUGAGCUUCUUAACUGGGCAUUUAGAAUCCUCUCCAAUAUCCUCCACUACCUAUGAUUUAUAUUUUAGCCAAAAUGGACCCUUUAUAAUCUUGAACUUCAUUGCAUGUCUGCACUUCUAUACCAGUGCUGAAUCCCAAACUGAAAUCUGGUUCAUAUUUCAUGAAACAGCUGGUUUUUACACCCACAUCUUGAAAUCUCUUUCUAUUCCCUCACCUAGAUACAAACUCUUCAAGGGGCCAGUAGAGUAUAGUGGCUAAAAUCUUGGAUUCUAAAACCCAGCUGUCAAGGUUCAAAUCCCAGCCACACCAUGUGCUGACUGUGAGAUCAUAUACAAGUCUCUUUUCACUUCACAUCUGUUUCCUUAUCUGGAAAAUCAAGAAUAUUAAUCAGAUAUUAAAUGAGAUAAUAUACAUUUAAUCUAGUCCGUGGAACCCUGUAAGCAUGCAGCAACUGCGAGCUAUUAUGGCAGAUGCUGUUGCUAGCCCACCCACAUCCUCUUGGUAUUUGUCUCUACAUUCUCAACCUGUUUAUAGAAAACAUUCGUGACUCUCUGUAGUCAAGAUAGCAUGCUCAGCUCUCAUACAGGGCAGAGCAGAAGUUUCUGAGAUGUAAUCAGUCUCCCAAGAAGCGACACUCAGACAAUGACCAAUGGAGAGUCAGUGGAUGAAUACCCCUUGUUAGGAAUAACUCUGAACCCUAUUCUAGAGUGUGGACAGCAUAGAAUCUCUUAUUGUCUCCCAGACUUCCCCAGCAGGCUGUAACAUCAGUUGCCCGCAAUGGUAAUUGGCUUGGCAGAUACCUUCUGUCAGCUCCUUUGCCUUCCCUAACUUACUCUCCACUCUCUUUUAUGUAUUUCCUGGGAUCGUUUCCCAAAACUACUUGGAUUCUUGUCUCCGGGUUGGCUUCUGGAGGACUCUAAAACCAUAACUGCUCUUAUCACUACAGCUGACUUCUUUGAAACCAUGAAAAUACUGCUUUAUUUGCAUUCGUCUUCUGCUAGUUAGAGUCUACCUUCAUAAAACCUAAAAUCCAACAAAAAAUUAAGACCAAAAUACAAAUAUUUCUCACAGUACCUCUCACAUAGAAGUUACUCAAUCUGUAUUUAGAGAGCAAAGAAUAAUGGGAGAUCAAAAGAUUACUCUGUGACUAUAAAAAUAGAGCGAGGACUAUUGAUUGGUUACUAAGAAUAUUUUACAAACUUUUAUGGUUUGACACACCCUUUUAAUGGUGGUAUGUCUACCUAAUAUAUCUGCACCUUCCCAAAAUCCCCUCCCCUCGAUGUCAGCAUCAGGACUCCCCUCCUCCUCUAGCUAGAUUUGAGAGACACUUGCCAUUAUCUCAUCAUUAUUUUAUCAUGUUAAUGUACUUGUGUAACCUUUUAUAUUUUCUAAAUAUGAAAAAUAUUUUACAGAGAUUACAUUUGACGCAGCUGCUUCCUGAAGACCUAGAGAUCACUUUAAUCUUACAAGCACAUUCUUCAGAUUGUCGUGUGGGUGGGUAACUUCCGCCAGACUUUUCUGGAGAUGGCUAAUCCAGCCGUGGGAUGUGGUUUCUUCUAACAGCCAGUCAGGAAAAUCUUGCUUCUCAAACUCCUGUCUUGACCCCUUCCUGAACUUUGCCUCCUGGAUCUUGAGGUCUGCCUUCUGUGGAAGAGAAAUACUAGAAUCAAUGAACUGUGAACUAGAGCCCUGGGAUUAUCAACAGCUGAAAUUUUGAGAGCCACCUUAUAGAAAGCCUAACAGCAAAGACUGGAGAGAGGCUUCCAGCCAACAGCCAGCAAGGAAUUGAAGCCCUCAGUCCAAUAGCAGUGAGGAAUUGAAUCCUGCCAACAGCCUCGUGGACCGACUGCUUCAUGCUGGGCUUCAGACAUGAGAGGCUAGGAGUAGGAGGCAUGCCUUGUUCAAAGUAACUCCUCCAGGGGACAGCAGCAUCUCUUCUGACUCUUUGCUUCCAUGUCUUGAGGAAGCAGCCUCCUGCCUAUGGCCAUCUGAGGAAGCCAUCUUGGAAGCAGACCCCUCAGCCCCAGUCAAGCCUUCAGAUGACUGAAGUCUCAGCUGACAUCUUGACUUUAAUUUAAAAAAAAAAAAAAAAAAAAAAAAACAAACAAACAAACAAAAAAAAACUCCAAGCCAGAACUACCCCCAACUGGAAUUUGAGAGCUGCUUUCAAAUCCUGACCCAUAGAAACUUAGAUAAUAAAUGUUUGUUGUUUUAAGCCACUCAUUUUUAGAGAAAUUUGUUAUGCAGCAAUAGCUAGCUAAUACAGAGAAUUAACCAGCCUCUCUUAAAUUACCACCACAAAAUCAACUACCUAUUUUAUUAAAAGGUAAAACCAGCUGCUGAAGAACGUUUUUCCUCUCAAGGCUUUGGCACUUAAGAUUCAACAGUAAGAAGGAUUGAAGAGUGAAGGCUUCCUGGCUACCCCGUGGCAUCCUGUGUUUGGUUUGAAGCGUGAUAAGCCUGGGUUGCUCUUCCAGUCCACCUUGUAAGAGACUGAUGUGGAAAAAUGUGUCUCUUCUCAAGGGCUAACUCUGGAAGCUUGGGAAAAUAUUCUAGAUUUGGAUCACAUUAAAAUGGGUAUUAGACCUAGGUUCUAGUUCCAUCUCUAAGAUCUGGAUAUGUCAAAAUCCUUUUCCCUUUGUAGGUUUUAAGUUUGGCCUCUUUAAAUAAAGAAACAAUCACCCAUGCUUUGUCUUUUAACUUGCUACUUAAAACAAGGAGCUGAAGACACUGGCCAUCAUCAAAUAACUAAUGGACAAUUCCCACUGCCUCGCUGAAAUUUGCAGUCUGACUCUCAUCAUCUCUUGCCUUUUUUUUUUUGCUUUGGCUGUGUUUGUGAAACUGCCUUUGCAAAGAUUAUGAGAGGGAGUCUAGCAUGGCCAACUCCAUCUUGCUUCUAGCCUCAUGGGCUGGCUUCCCUUGCUCAUUCCUAGCCAUAGGCCAAGCUAACCAUGGGAGGAAUUUAGUUUAUAGUUUAACUUUGAAGCAAAGAUGAUACUAUUUUAUCCCUAAAACAGAUCCCUUCCUUGUUCGGGUUCUGAAACCACCUUUGUAAGACUAAUGAAAAGCCACAAGAUUAGGAUUAUGGAAAGGGCCUGAAUCCUGCUCAAAUGGAGGCAUCAUUUCUAUACUUCCUUACUGCUCAGGAGUUAUGUGGCCAAAUGGCACAGAGUUGUGACUUCCUCAAUUGCUCCUGUGGAUAACAUCACUAUUGUAGAACCUAAGGCUGGUCUUUUGAGCUGUUUUUCAGAUUUUUGCAUUCUGGCAACUGAGUGAUGCCUCCCAGACUCAUGACUCAACCAGUCCUAUGGCCUCCACCCAGAGGUGGACUCAGCACAUGAGGACUGUUUUCCUCGCACUUCUGUGAUCUCAUCCCUAACCAAUCAGUAGCACUCAUUCCCUAGCUCCCUGCCCACCAAAUUUUCCAUAAAAAGCCUAGCCUCUGAGCUCUUGGGGAGAUUGACUUGAGUGAUAAACUCCAGUUCUUCUCUAUGGCCAGUCUUGUAUUAAUUAAACUCUUUCUUUACUGCAAUACCAUGGUCUCAGUGAAUGGUUUGAUCUGUGCAGCAUGCAGGAAAAACUCAUCAAUCAAUUACAUUUGUCACUAAGUCCUCUCAGCUGGAGACUCAUCAAUGAUAUUAAAUUUUAAAAAACUACCAAGCGAAUACAAUUCAAGUGGAAGCUCACCUGUGGAGCAAUGGGAACACACUGUUAUUCAACAGGGCUGAAGUCUGAAUCAGAUGCCCGGAGGAGAUACGUUGUCUUGGCUUUGCCACUCACUGGCUAUGUGAUCUUGGAUAAGUCACCUCACUCCUCUUGAUCUCAGCUCCCUCUUCUUUAAGAAAAAAAAUAAAGUAGUGAUAAUUUUAAUAGUCAACAUUUACUGACUGUAAUCUAAAAAUGGGGUUAAGUAAAUUGCAUGCAUUACCUUUAACACAACUGUGACAUAGGAAUUAUUGUAACAUAAACAGCCUCAUAAAAUCUGUAUUUUACAGAUAAGGAAACUAAGUUUCAGAGAUAAUAAGUGGUGGAGCCGGAUUCAAACCCAAGUUCUUAACCACCAAGAUCAUAGCAAUUAUAAAUCAGUUUCAGCUUGAAUUUGAACUCUCUGGAUGCUAGGAUUCAGAAGAGAUGUGACAUCUGUGAAGAACUGAUGGUGUCAGUCUGCCAGGCAUUUAGUUAUAUGAGGAACCCAGAGUGAGGUUAGCAUCAGGGAGUCACUGGUUCUAGAGCAGAGGGAAGAUUCUAUUUACUUUUGAUGUUGGUCACUACAAAGUUAUGGUGCCAGCAAGAGAGCAAAGUAAAAACAAAAAGGCCUGGGAUAUUAGUAUGCAGGUCAUCUGGAGAAUUGGUGCCAGCAUCUUCUGUAGUAAUUGAUGAGGAUGCCCCAUCAUUGACAUCAACGACGUUGACAGUGGACACUGGCAGGAAUUGAAUGCCUUGAGCAGACACCAGUCACAGUGUCGGCAGUGGCUGGGAGUCAUUACCCCCAAUGUGCCACGGCCGGAGGGGAUAAAUGCAGCAGAUGUCACAUGGCAGCCCAGAGGAGCAGUUUGCAGAGCACAUGUGAGAAACCCUCUGAGGAUACCCAGGAGACACCACGGGAGACAGAAACCCAGGACUGUACUUGAAUGAAAUUCGAGAGAGAGCUUACAUUUCUAUAGAACAGAAGUGUAUCUUCCUGAAGAAAUUUUGUGUUUGCUCUUGAGAUCCUAUUUUUACCCUCAGACUUGGGUGGUCUGAAAAAUGUAGGUUACUGAUGAGAUGGAAGGGUGCGACUCCACAGUGCUCUGCAAGGGUCUUUCACUUUGCCUCAUGAUUCCCAGAAUUACAGCAUUUCAAACUCCAUUGACAGAAACACCAGGGCUGGCAAAUGCAGUGCAGAUCCAUUGGUCUUAAAUGUGGGAAAUAGUCUACAGUUUGGAAGACACCAGAGAAAAAUGCUCCACAGCUCGCCCUGGUGACUCACUACAACUUAUGGGAAGAUGUGAGAUUAUUCUGUAUUCUAAUGUAUGUUAGAAGGCACACUCCACCCAAAGCCUUCCUGUGUGUUCCUCCCUGUGAGCUCACAUCCCGUUCACCAGCUGACUGGGAAGGGAAGUCAGGACCAGCCCUGACCCCAUCACACCAUCAUAACCUCGGGAUGGCAGGGCUGGAAGGCACCUCAGACGUCAUCCUUUGCAGACUCUUCAUUUUACAGUGAGAGGCAUGACGUGUCCACAGCUGGUUAGUGCCAAAGCCUGGGACAGGCUUCACAUUGUCCAGCUCUUAGUCAGAGCACUGUUGACAAUGUCUGCCUUCACUUGGAAUUCAGCACCUGCUUUCAGUAUAAACCCCUGCAUUUCACUAAAACUGAGCAGACUGCUGGUUUAAAAAAGAGAGGUCCAUCCAGCAGGGAUGAUGCUUUUCCUCGUUGAAAGAGGACAUUCACCUAAUGGGAGACCUGGAGUCAGAAUCUUUCUGAUGUGUGACUUGGCACAGUAACACAAUGCAGGAUGCUGGUGUGUUAAUAAAAAUAAAAAUUGCAUCGCCUACCUCAGAGUCGACAACAAUGUCAAGGAGUUAAUAGUCUUGGCAACACAGAGGCCACUGGACAGAGGCAUAACCUUGCGUGGCAGCUGCACGGGAAUUGGAUUUGGCUCAGGUGUUUCAGAUGACUAAGAACAAAGGGGACCACUCUUGGUAUAGAAGUUCAUCUCGUCGGGAGCAUCUGUGGUUCUUUUAUAAGCAAUGUACAUUCUACAAUAGAGGCAGACCCAGAAAUAAUUCAGAUAUUGGAGUUAGAAGAUCAGGAUUCUAAAAAAACCAAAAGAUCCUGCCUUACUAUGCACCUAUGGCCCUUCAAAGGCGAGAGUAGAAUCUGCUAUGAUUUAGAAGCAAGCAAUAAAAAGUACACAUCAGGUGAGUGGAUGCUAGCUAAGACCUUGGGCUUUGGGGUCAGACAGGCCUGGGUUUAAAUCCUGGCCCUGUCAUUCUGGGGAAACAUGUUUCUGCUUUCUCCUAUAUGAAAUAGAGGCAGUGGGUAUCCUGAACAUGUCACCUUUACUUGUCCAGCUUGUCAGUUAGGGUUUGGUUAGGGAAACAGAGCUGCUGUAAACAUUAUGGGAAUAAGGGAUUUUAUUCAGAAUUGGAGCCUGCACAGAUGUAGAAGGAGGCAUGAAGAGGGUAUUGGAGGAUUGCCCACUAUGCAGUCUGCAUCCUGAGUCUGUGGUGAGGCUGGACACGUUCAAGCUUACAGGAGAACUGGAGAAAGCAAGCAACACAGCGGUGGAAGUGAGACCACUGAAGCAGGGACAAGAGUGGAGGAGACAAACUGGACUCGGAACAAACUGGGAGCCUCUGCAUCCAUCCGUAACUGUCUGGCCGUGACAGUGGUUAGAGAGGAGUGGCUUCUGUGAAACUCUCACAAUCUCAAAUCUCCCACAAGUGCCUCUUUCAGCUAACUCUAAACUGGUACCAUAGAGGAAAUGGAUUCUGAAAACUUGGUCUCCAACCUUAGACAAAUUGAAUAAUUAAUAUGUCCUCUCCUGCUUCUUCUGUAACUGAAUUUGCAUUGGGAAGCAGGCCUGUCACUCUCAGACUUUGUGGUUUGAGUAGGGCUCACUUCAGCACCACCUUUUCCUCUUCUCAGCCCCACGGACUGGCAUGAGACUCAGGCCUGGCCAACUGAAUGUCACACACCUAUGACCAUCAGUUGGCUCAGAGAUGGACUCAGGACACCAUCACAGCCAAUGAAACCCUGUUAGGGAAAUUUGUCAGAACCAUACAAAGAAAUAGCUCCACUUUUCCAUAGAGAUGAGACAUAAGCCUGGACUAACUGGUGUCCAAUUUGCCAUCAAGAGAGCAUCUGAGAAGACAGAGGAAAACUGGGGAAAGCGAAGUCUAAGGAAGGUGAGUAAGGACAAGUCCAGUUGAUAUUACAUGAAUCACCUGGACCUGGAAAUCAAGGCAUUGCUGGAUUCAAGGCCAAGAAAAAUUGGAAGCUGGCUUGAAUCAGGUUCUAUCACUUGCAGUUGAAAAGGUCCAGACUAAUAUGAUAACAAAGGAGCAAGUAAGCAAGAUUCUGCCCUACAGUAAGUGCUCAAUGCAUGUCAGCUGGUAUUAUUAUUAUACAGACUUCUAUUUCUAGCCCUUUUAUUUCUACCACCUCUCUUCUGUGUUUUAUGUAAAGUGCAUAAGGAUUGUUCUGUUUGGAAACAUCAAACCAUAUAAAAUGACACCAGCAGGUCCCUUUCUGUCUGUCAGUGUCCACAAGCUCAACAACCAGGAUCAGCAGACAAAAACAGCUAAGCUGGAGUCAGUGUUUUUAUGAAGAAACAGGAAAAGAACUUACUUGGGAACUGUAGCUCAUCCUCCAAUAUUCUCCAUCCUAUCACUCUUUUCAUGACAGUUUCUUCUUGGCCCUGAAGUUGCCUUGUCAUGGCUCCCUGCCUCUGUCCUUUCUCUGUCUCACUUACAUCUUCCAAUGAGGAAUACAGCAAGACCUUUGGAUGAGGACCUCCAAAGGUCCUCAGUAUCCUUAGGACACUCGGUGCAGAACUAGAGGGACUGAGAGGAGGAGCUUUUGCAGGUUAAAUGACUAGUGAAUGGCCUUUCCUUAUAUUUCCAUUAGAAAUGGGAUUAGCUACACCUGAGAAGGAAUGACUUUGGAACAACUGAUCCCUAGCUUUCCAAAAUAUGAGAAAUUGAGAUGCAGGGAGUAGUAAGCACCUAGUUAAUGAGUCAAAGCAUAUUUAUAAAGUUCACAGGGUACAUAGCAUAUAGCAGCUGUUCUCUAUCUCAGUUGAGUUUUGACUAGGAAAUGGGCUUAGGAUAAAACACAUAGGCUUUUGAGUAAUCAUUUGUAAGAAAUUGUAGAUAGUGACCACAGUUUAAUAGCAUUAGAUAAAUUAUGAAAAGUCACUGAAAUACCUUCUCUGGAAAAUGUUAGAAGCUCAAGUACAAUGGCUUAGUUAAAGGCAGGUGGGGGAGAAACUUGAAGAAUGUGGUCCAGUACAAGAAUACCCCAUUUUUCCCCUAAGGCAAUGAAAAUGACAUGAAGUAAUCAUAGUUAUUUAUACAGGAACAAUUUAGGAGACUUAGAAUAUUCACUUCUUUUGCCUUCUAGCUGAGCAUCAAAAUUCUCUCUCUGUCUCUGCCUCUCUCUCUCUAUUUUCCACUUCUAGCUCCAACUAUUUUAAAUCCCUCCCCCAAUAGAACUCAUAACAAACAUAAAACAACAUUUGUUGUAUGUUUACAAUAGAUGUUCAAGCUAAUAUUUAUGUAGGCUUAGCCCUGGCAUUAAAUUAAGGUUUGGUUCACCAACAGGGUGCCUAGAGACUUCACCUCUAUUUCCAUGAGGGACUGAACAGCCUCUUGAGAAGGGACUCAUCAAAAUGGAAGAGUUGGCAAUAAGAAGUUUGGCUAAAUAACCAAGCACUGAAGUUGCAGAGGAGAAAGGAUUUGAAAGGCAGUACAGUGUCCAGGGGCAAGUUGGCAAUUUUUAGCAGGAGGUGAAGUGAUGCCAGCAGAGGUAACAGUGCUCAGAGGGACCAGUAGUCCCCAGGAGGAGCAGGGGAAUCCCCAGUGGAUCUGAUUUGUUCAAGAGCACAUGUGAGAUUAUCAGCUGGCGUUACAAUUUUGGAGUGGCAGUGAGAAGCAGUGAAUUUGAGGUCACUCAAUUUGCAGACCCCAAAGGGUGAAAUGUUGAGAAACAUGAGUUACACAUGUAUUUAACAGCUCUUGUGUAUUAUCACAAAUCCUAUUUCACCUCUCAUGCCCCCGAGGCUUUGGUGUCCAGUUCUCUGAAGACUUCAUCAAUCCUCAGCCAUAAAUCACCUGAGAGCAACUCACCUUGCUUCAUACUAUGAAGCUCCCUGAUGUCACAGCAUGGCAGGCCUGUGGCAACCCCUCAACACUUAUGCAUGAUCCCAAACAGCUAGAGGAUUAACACCUACGGUGUAACCCUUGACCAGCAGGAAAUGGAAAUUACUGUCUUUUUGUCCCCGCAGGUGAAUGGUUCUAAAAUGCAUUUUAUAAGCCUUCUGAAAUAGUCCCACAGGUCAAGCACCUACUUGCUCCAGUGGUGACCAACUCAAUGAUGCAUCCUUGGGUUGACUCUCCCUCCUUUCCAGUUCACUUUCCCCGCCCCUCACUCCUGCACCUCAGCAUCACAUUCCUGAAUAAACCACUCACACAUCUGUCUUAUUUCAGACUCUGUUUGGGGGAAUCCACAAUAAAAAUUUGUCAUUUUGAGUUAAACAUUGCUCUCACCUUGAAGACAUAUUUCCAUACCUAGAGAUUUCUGAAGUUCUCUCCCUUUUCCUAUCAUCUCCUUUGUGCUUUGUCUGACCUCCAUGUUACAGAGCCCCAUGAUAUUUAGAGCCAGUACUGCUAGGGAAGUAGUUCAGUUGUGUUUUAAAUGGUUCAGCAACUUGUAACAUCAACUGAGAACCAGAGGAAUACACUUGGAGGCCAAGAAAAAAAUGUUAGCUAAUAUGUACCAUACAGUAUGAUUCCUUGGGUAAGGGAAAGUAUAUGCAAGUGACAGAGGAAAAUUGAAAGUUGUAGCCCUUUUUUGGACUUUAGAUUUGGAAUUAAAGUUUCUCUUCUCUUGAAAGACCUUCUUUUUGUGGAUAAUGAUGAAUCUGAAGACCAGAACAGUGGGCCAAUUUGCCUUAGUUGAGAGUGGCAAAUAAAUGAAGAACUGAAGAACGUAUCUCUUUAACUAGUGCUCCUUUGUUGAGAAGAUACAAAACAAACAAUUGAAGGGUAUGGAUGAAGCCAUUGGCUUAUUCAUGUCUCUGUUGAUCAUAAUGAGAUUAAUAUAUAUAGGACAUUCACACAAAGAGGAUAUUGACUCGAUGGCUUACAGAUUAUUAGAGUUAGAAAUGUGACCUACUACUAAAGGAAGAAUGUUUCAGGUGUGGAUCUCUGAUUUAAAAAAUACACCACACUUGCCUCAGUGAAGCAAGUCAACUUAGGUGCUGAUACAAUGCCACUGCAGCUGUGCUGAGUUCAUGAAAUCAGAUCCCACUCUCUUCACCUACCCCUACCGUAUUCAUCCUACUUUCCGUCUGCUCUGCCCUUCCCAUUUGGUAACCUAGUCAUGAAACACCUGGCUCUGGGUCCUUCCUUCAGCAUCACUCCACGUUGUACUGCUGGCAUCGCUUUUCUUGGCACAGAACCUCUUAGGGCUGCUAUCCUAGGAGUAGGUGCUACUCAGGCUGGCUUAGUCCCAGGCUUCACUCACUUCUUGGCCCAUGGCCAGGAGGACCGGAAAGAACAAACUCUCUGCACAUCUCUGCAGGUGGCCACAGAGCCCCCAUCUGAGCCUUGCUGAUGGAGAAGAGCAUGCUGCAUCACAAGAUAACUGUGUGGCUCUGUUCAAAAACCUUGUUUAGAAGUUAUUAUUUCUUUUAUUGCAUUAGAAUUUGCCUCACUGUAGCUUUUGUGCUUCUGUCCUGGUUCAGCCUUAGAUAGCAGUGCAGCCUGGUCCAUGUGAAAGCUCUUGCAAUAGGCCUUUCUGCUAGUCAGGAGUUCUCAGACCCAUCCCUACUCUUCACUUUUCUCAAGACUAAUAUCAGACUCCUGGGCUCUUCAAGGUUUCCUCAUAUGAUAAAAGUUCUAAGCCCUCCAUUGUCCUAGUCACUGUCCUCUCUGUUCCAUCCCUGUCUGCCCUUCCAAGAUGCUGCACCUGGAGAUGAAUUUGUCCUUCCUGGGGCAAGUCACCAUGAGAUGAUUACUUUUGGAUCAUACUGAAUUUGUGGGUUAAAUAAACUCAUAGGUCUUUAUCUCAUGCACUAAAUCCAAAUUCGAUCUCUUGCCGUAAAUCAUUUUUUUGAAUAGCUGAACAAUAAGUAAAUAAUACACAAAUGAAAACUAAUCAAUAUUUGAACAUCCUCAGUAUUUUCAGCCCUAGUUUGAGCCAGACAUAGCUCAUCUUGUAUACUUCACUAAGGACACUUUAUACGAUCAAGCAAUUAAUAUUAUGAUGUCAUGUCUCGCAAGCCCCAUAGUGUCACUUCCAGUCUCUUCACCACAAAGAACGUUGAAGCCUUCGUAUUUUUUUGAAAAUCAUAUUUCUAGCUGCAGGAUGGGAUGUAAGAAAAGUUCAGAUUAGGAUUAUUCUAGGCUCCUGACUAUAACUAAAAUCCUGAUUUUUUAUGGAAAGGAAUGAGGAUCAUUCCUUCAAAUUAGAUUUUUGUGAUAAAAAGAAAAAAGUUGGUAAUCUAUUCAAAAUUGUAACAAAAAUAACUGCAUUUUUCUUUGGAAAAUAAUAGUUGAUUCCUUUUUGCUUUUUUUACUUAUGAAUUGGGGUGCAAUAGAGUUUAAUAAAAAUGAUGUGAAACACUCUUAUAAGGCUAAUUUAUCACAUUUGCUUCAAGGAAUUGUCCUUUCUAACAAAAUUGUGAAAUGGAACUGAACAGUAGCAUGAUGAGGCCUCUACCAGGAGGAGGUACAGAACAAGGCAGGAGGUCAGUGGUUAAAGGACUCCUUGCUUAUGCUCAAGAAAUGUGGACCUUAUUAGAGGUGACACAGUGAAAUCAGUCACCUGAUUUCGCAGGUGACUGUGGAGCAAGAAUGCAAAUCCACAAUAUUAGGAUGAAUGUGAGAGGAGAAGGGAAGGAGGCCAUGAGGGAAAAAAGGACAUCUAAUUGGGUCUGAAAGGAAGGGUAGAAUUUAAGUAAAGAGCACUGUGUACAUAUGGGAAUACCAUGUACUUUCUCAUGGAGAGAGGCCUUCUGACAGUCCUGCAUUGAUCCUGCUUCUUUGACCAUCCCUUGUUAGCCAGCAGGUCAUUUGGCCUCACUAGUUGCCUCAGUGCUGAGUGAUAGACUCAGCAGUCCCCAGCCUCUUUGGCACCAGGGACUGGUUUUGUGGAAGAUAAUUUUUCCAUGGAUCAGGGAGAGGAUGGUUUCAGGAGGAUUUAAGUGCAUUACAUUUACUGCGCACUUUAUUUCUAAUAUUAUUACAUUGUAAUCUAUAAUGAAAUAAUUAUACAAUUCACCAUAAUGUAGAAUCAGUGGGUGCCCUGAGCUUGUUUUCCUGCAACUAGAUGGUCCCAUCUGGGGGUGAUGGGAGACAGUGACAGAUCAUCAGGCAUUAGAUUCUCAUAAGGAAUGCACAACCUAGAUUCUUCACAUGUGCAGUUCACCAUGAGGUUCACGCUCCUAUGAGAAGCUAAUGCCUCCGCUUAAACGACACAGGAGAUGGAGCUCAGGUAGUAAUGAGUGAAAUGGGGAGCAGCUGUCAAUACAGAUGAAGCUUUGCUUGCUUGCUUGCCGCUCACCACCUGCUGUGCAGCCUGGUUCCUAACUGGUACUGGUCAGUGGCCUGUGGUUGGGAACUCCUGGUAGACUAACAACAGAACAAAGCCAAGUCUCAAGGAGAGACAGUUGUAUAGAUGCCUUCCUGCCCAUUCUCUGUUGUGGGGGCCAAAUCACACAAGACCUGCAUUUAAUUCUUUAUGGGCUUAGGCUGUGAAUUAAUGUAAAAUCUCAAGAAACCAAGAUGACAGGCCAGGGACUAAAGAGCAAAAGAAAGACCACAGCUAUGGUGGGCGAGGAGACAAAGUCAAUCCCACCGGGACAGAUGGUGAUGACCCUUAUCAGUUCUAUUCUGUCAUCUCAUAAAGGUAAAGACUUGUGUUCUUUUUCUUAGGACAGUCCAGAUGGUAUUGGCUGUGCUUAAAGAAAAUUCAGACAUGUGUGAGUGUGGCUGGAAUUGACAUUCAUGAGGUCUUCCGUUUUUAUUUGAAAGGGGCAGAGUAAGUAUUUGUGAACAUUGGAUGGUGAUGAAGAAAAGGAAAUGGUGUCUAGUAUCCUACCUGGCCUCAUGGACCAAGACUAGAAGGAUUAGAGGCAAAGUCGAAGGAAGCUGCCACCAUAAAGGGUUCUGUGAAUGCUGUUUGGCUGAAAUGUGUGACAAAGCACUGGGAAGGGUUUCAUUGCAUUAGCUCAGGCCAUAGCACGACCCUUAACCAACACCUUAAGGUGAUGGUCCCCUUGGCAUAAAUAUUGGUGUUAAAAUCGAGGUUAACCUUAGUGAUAGUAUGGUUAAGAGUCCCCUGCAUGACUUUGGAAGUUGAAGAUGCUGAUCAGGAGAACUAGAGCAGGAAAGAGAAAAUAUGACUGAGGCUAAGUGGUGACUUGGUAUUGACUGAUAGGUGAACACAGGAAUGAAUUUCAGCGAGAACCCCCAGUAACUGUCUGGGGAGUGGAGACUGUGUAUGAACAGGACAGAAAAAAAAGCAGAUUCGGGUAGUGUCCUGUCGUGUGUCUCUUUUACAGUCCUGAAAUGAAGGACUUUCAGUGUUUUCAUUGAGCACCAAUCAAUUCCCUCUUUACAAAAGACCAUAUUGGAACAGCAUCAAGGUUUAGGGAUAUUAAAGCAAUACAGUGACACUGGAAUGACCACUGAGAACCAGCGAACUUCUUCAGCCCUUAUAUCCUCAGGCACUCUGGAAGCCAUGAAUCUGGUUUUCUUGCUAAACUGUGUGUACUGCACAGAGUACAAUGGUAAAGGAACAAAUAUUGGCUCUAAAAUCUCUUGUAAAGGGAAGGGUGGUCAUCCCUUUAGAUGGCAAAUUGAGUUUCUGUAAUGGGGUUUGCUCUGAUGUUGCAUUUCCACUCAGGCAUCAAGACAUUCUGUUGUUUAAAGCCCUAGAUGGGUGAUAUUUCUUUCAUGUGCAAGGCCCGAAUGCUUCACUGAGCUCUCUCUUACCCACACACACUCAUUUAAACCUUGGUCAAAAUUAUCCUUUAGCAUCUGCAUCUUCUCAGAAGGCGGAAGGGUCAAUGGGGAUAAUCAGGAGAGAUGAGGUGCACUUUCAGAAGUUGGAGCUGAGAAGGUGAUGGAAGUAUCUGUAAAGUCGUUGAACAGCUGCACGAACUAUAGGGGAAGCAUUUCUGGAGGCAAAAGGGGAAUAGCCCUUUCCUCUUAAACCAAAGCGAGCACAGCUCCAAAGGCACUUAGAUGGAGAGUUCAUCGGAAUGUGAGCUCUAAGAGUGGCUGAGAAUCUGACAAAAACAGCCAUCUGCCAACCCAAAAUUAAAACUCCUCUGUUUAGCACCCAGUAGAGAAAGUCAACCAGAUUGACUUCGCAAACAAAGGACCUUAAAAGCAUCACCUAAGAAAGUGUGUCAGGAUCCACAGACAUCCAGAGCAUUCUCUAUGGUUCAUUACUUACAUUAUUCUUAUCUAUUUACACAUAAUGUUUAGAUGUAAAAUCCUUACAAUGAAAAGGGUGUAUAUGCUUUAAAAAAGGCACAACAGGGAUCUAGAACUAGAAAUACCAUUUGACCCAGCCAUCCCAUUACUGGGUAUAUACCCAAAUGAGUAUAAAUCAUGCUGCUAUAAAG